rnacentral:lncRNA from 1 species
GCACUGCUUCCUGCCAGGGAGCCCAGCUACAGGAGGAGCCCUCACCGCAGCAGCUGCAGAAAAUUAAAUUCACGUAAUUUUCUAUCAGAGAGUGACCUUGGUAACCAGAGAAAAACUCUGCACCCUCGUUCUUUGACUGCUUUCUGAAGGCAGACACGAUGUCAGCCCUGGGUGCUGUCCCCCCUUACCAUGAAGGCAGUCCCAGCAGCUGCAGGCGUUCCUGGGCAUCCCUGGGUGCAUCCUGCCUGCACCGGUCGGGGCUGGCAUUGCGCUCCUUGGUGCAUCUUCUAGUAUUAACGUUUCCUGGAUCAGCAUAGCUGUGUGUUCUGUUACAUCUAGCCGCUUGUCUAGGAAGCAGCUCACUGUGGUUACGGCACAGCCAACAAGCAGGUUAAUUAACCCAAAGCACAUUGCCCAGACUGUUCAUUAGCUACAGCCAUCCCUCAUCUCAAAUAAAGCAGAUCUGUUUUCCCAGGUGGGCUGGGAUGCUUUCCAAAGCAGCCUCCGGGGCUUUUUCCAGCCUUCCCUGUCCUCCGGGGGCACAGCUCUGCACGGGGAGACCUGCACUGCCAGGGGAGCUUCAUUUCCUCCAUCGUAAAAGCACAGGAACUGUUCUGGGACAACAAAUAAAACCAGGAAAGGUUUUGGGGCCAUAGGGAGUGUCAUUUGCUCAUCGGUGCCACUGCUGGUCUGGAAGCAGGUUUGUUCCUGUACCGCAGCAGUCUGGUUCGGGCAAUGUGUUUCCCCCCGUGGUGCAGUGGCUGCAGAACCGCGCUGACAUCUCCGUCCUGCUCUCCAUGUCCUCGCGCAGCUCAACAGCUCGUGCUCUCGCCCUCGCUGCAAAAGACUGCUUCGUCUUUUGUCUCCUCCCGAGGAGCAGGCACCGUGUCCAGCUGGCCAGUCCUCUGGAGCAGAGGUGCCCUCCUUACCACGGCAUACAACAGACGUGUCAGAAAGCCACAGCACUGCAUCUGCAGCUCUAAAACGUAUUACAGGGGCAAGGAUGGAGUGGCAGUGCUGUUUCCUGUGCUGUACCUGCCACAGCCUGAUGUAGGGUGA